UACGGAGGGUGCAAGCGUUAAUCGGAAUUACUGGGCGUAAAGCGUGCGCAGGCGGUUUGUUAAGUCCGUUGUGAAAGCCCCGAGCUCAACUUGGGAAUUGCAGUGGAUACUGGCAGGCUCGAGGGCAGGAGAGGAACGCGGAAUUCCAGGUGUAGCGGUGAAAUGCGUAGAUAUCUGGAGGAACACCGGUGGCGAAGGCGGCGUUCUGGACUGUCUCUGACACUGAAGAACGAAAGCCAGGGGAGCAAACGGG
rnacentral:rRNA from 1 species